rnacentral:sRNA from 2 species
GCCGCAGGUUCGGGUCGAACGCAGUGAGACAACGGAGCCGUUUACGGCGACGGCCCGAAGGGCGAGCGAAGCGAGUCAUCCUGCACGACCCACCA